UGAAAUUUUAUUUUUUUUUUUUUUUUUUUUUUUUUUACUAUUGUCUGAAAAAUUGAAUUGUUUUUAGGUAUUGGGAACCUUAUUACUUUGCAUCAGUAGGAUUUGGGAACGAUGAAAUUGGAGGAUGAGAUGAGAUUGAAAGAGAAAUUGGAGUAAAAAGAGCAGUGUGCAUGAAAUUGUCGGAAGCAAUUUGGCACAAGUUAAGCUUGGAGAAAGUACUUAGUUUCCAUUACAUGCUCAUUUCCUUAUAAUUUAUGGGUGUCAUCCUUUGUUCUCUUAGGUAGUUAUGAAGAAUCUGAUUUAUAGUUCUAAAUUUUGAUAAGAGAGUUUUAACAAUGAUAUCAUGUAUAUUUUAUGCCAAGUCUCCAACCCCAAUGAAGAUGGAAUAUUAUAGAUUUAUGGGCUUGUAUCAAUUAUCUUUGUAAUUAAUAGAGAGAUGAUGAACUCCACUAGGGGUUUUUUUAUUUUUAUUUUUAGUAAGCAUUAGUUGGUGCAGCUUUGAAGUAAUUUUAUUUUUUAUUUUUUUUAUUUAUAAAGAAAUAGAGCAUAUAUUGAUAAGAUUUGGAUAUAAAUUUUAAAAAUUAUCUGAAGGGGUUUGAAACUAAUACAUUAAACAAAUAUCAGUUUUUCCUUUGGCAUCAAAGUUCAAACUUCAAAGAGUGGCAAGAGAGAAGUUUCCGUUAAGAUGGUUUCCUUCCCUUUAUAGUGCUGAAAUACCUAUCCUUUCUCUUAUUUGGUCUGCAGGUUGUAA